CUACGGGCGGCAGCAGUGGGGAAUAUUGGACAAUGGGGGAAACCCUGAUCCAGCAAUGCCGCGUGUGUGAAGAAGGCCUGCGGGUUGUAAAGCACUUUCGGUUGGGAGGACUGCUUCUAGCACUAAUAUUGUUGGAAGUUGACGUUACCUUCAGAAGAAGCACCGGCUAACUCCAUGCCAGCAGCCGCGGUAAUACGGAGGGUGCAAGCAUUAAUCGGAAUUACUGGGCGUAAAGCGCGCGUAGGCGGCUAGAUCAGUCGGGUGUGAAAGCCCCGGGCUUAACCUGGGAACUGCAUCCGAUACUGUCUAGCUUGAGUACAGGAGAGGAGAGUGGAAUUCCACAUGUAGCGGUGACAUGCGUAGAUAUGUGGAGGAACACCAAUGGCGAAGGCAGCUCUCUGGCCUGAUACUGACGCUGAGGUGCGAAAGCGUGGGGAGCAAACAGGAUUAGAUACCCGGGUAGUC
rnacentral:rRNA from 1 species